GUGAAAAGUGGAGCAGGAAGCUCAAAACCACAAGCAAUCUUUCCCAGCAAGAAAGAAGAGGAAAAACACUUAGAAAAAAAAGAGAAGAAUUACUGAGAAAGCAAGAAAAAGAAGAAGAAGCGCGGAAAAAGAAAGAGGAGACUCUUAAAAUGCUGUCAGAAGAAUCAAAACGGAAACGGGAAGAAAAGAGGAUGAAGGCUGCUGCUGCGCGAGAAGCUAAUGAGAAACAAAAGCAAGAAGCUGCAUUAAAAGUUUGAAAAAGAGAAAGAAGAACGAAAGAAAAUACAGUUGGAACGAGAAGAAAAACUUAAAGAAGAACAAGCCAAAAAGCGCAAUCUCACUGCCCAGAAAGCUGCUGAGACAGAAGAAAGACGGCGCCAAGAAGAAGCUGCUCGCCAAGCUAGACUCCGUGAAAUGGCUGAAGAGCAGAAGCGAGCUGCUGCCAUCAAACUUCGAGAGCAGGAGGAAAAUGCAGCUAUGAAGCGGAAAUUGGAAGAAGCAAAACAAGCAAAGAAGCUUGGCAAAGAGCCAAAGAAGGAAGUUCAAGAGUACAAAUGCACACCAACAGAGAAGAACGCCCUUUGAAAAAACCCAAACAGAAGAUGACUAUGGUGUGGAGGAUGCCUCUGCCAGCGACUCGAGUGAUGAUGAAGCCAAUCCUAAGAAAGAAAUACCUCGUUGGGCUACUGCCUCAAACCGUAAUCCGCAACUGUUGCUUCAGACAUACUAUCCGUUCUGUUAUCUUCAUCAAUUCAUGUCAUGCAAGAAAGAGGUUGACCUCACACAAAUCUUCAAGUCAUCAGAGGUGA
rnacentral:lncRNA from 1 species